ACUCCGCGUAAGCAUGUGCAUGAAGGCAGGUAGACAGUCCUCGGUAUGGAGACUCCAUGGAUGCGGAUUUCCUCCAAGAAGCUGUGGGCUAGUCUGGCCUCUGAAGUUGGAGACAAGUCUCAAGGAGGCUCCUAGUACUUGGGGGUGCUCUGAUACCCCCUUGCUGAAUGUGGAAGUCAAUAGACAUACCUACAUGACCUAAGCUGUGCUUCCCCCUCCCCCCAAGUGACAUUUCCACAAGUGUUCCAUAGGAGGGUGCACGGCUGUAGGCAACAGCCGAGACUGAGGACAGCCUAGAGCAGAGUGAGACUGGACAGGGAGGAACAGCUCCACCGGAUGUCCGAACCGGGAACUAGGUCAUUGCACCCAGCUGCAAUGUAGUCACGUGUGCACAUACACAUAUACACACAUGGCUGUAUACAUGUGCAUAUGUGCCAAGAGAGGACAAAGGAACUAAGGACACGUGCAACGCUUGUUCCAGGCCUUUCAGCCUAUCUCUUAAUUCAGGCUGUCCCCAAAGGGGACCUUCAGCUGCAGUGCCCACUGCAAUGGAGUUUCAAGACAUUGUAUUUGAGGGACUUUGGCAUGAUCAGAGAGCCCUUUCUGGGUCCUUUGGGGCUUUCCUUUCAGGUGACCUUUGGGCUUUGGGCUAUUAGUGUGAUUACUAGUGUGAUUACAGAGGCUGGUAAAUCUUGUCUUACCAUCCAUGUGCAUUUCUCCCAAAGGCCACUUAGGCAGUCUUAGUGAAAGCUCCCUCAGUGGCCAUGUGGCUUAGCAGGCAGGGGACUCUGGCAGCCUGUUGGAACUCCUCAUUUCCAGCUGUAGGGCUAUGAACAAGCACUCUGCCUUCCUGAAGCCUCAUUCCACACCUGCACUACCUUGGUGCUGCCUGGAGCUAGUCAUAUCCGUCCAGGCCACAACUGAGACACUCAGGUGGAUCUUGCAAACCCUAUUCCCCGGGGGAAGCCACUGUGUCAGGCCACCAACACCACCGGAUGUGGGCUUACCCUGGUGGUCCCAGGAGAGCCAGAAUCCAGACUUGGCAUUACCUUACUGAGGGAGCCUGGAGCAUGUCCCUGACUCCCCUCUGGCUACAGCUACCUCCAUCUGCAAGGAGCAUAGCAGCUCUUAUGUGAGAUAAGAGUAGCUGAUGGGCUGUCAGAAGGAUCUUGCAAGGGACAAGCCUGUGCCCUUGAGGAAUGCCGAACGAGGACAGGACACUCAGGCAUCUGGUUGGGAUGAGCUCUGUCUAUCUCCACAGAAGGACACUGAGUAGUUUAAGAACGCUCUUCCGAGUCUACCGGGCCCCUAGCUGCUGGCGAUAGAAAUGUUCCUAUGAGGGAAAGCUAGGUCCCUUUGAAACUGCCAAGUCUACACUAGAGGGGCGAAAGGCGACCUGCUUUCAAAGCGGCUCUUCUGGCCCUUAAUUACCCUCUGUCACCCAUAGGUGAAAUUUCCACUCAGUUAGCUGAAGAAAGGCGCCCAUGCCGCUGGCUGCCACGAGCCAGUAGGCACUGAGCUUUCCUGCUGCCUUUGUGCAACCGGCUCAGGUUUCUGAUUUUAAUGAUUUCCUGAAUUCAUUCCAUUUCCUACCUCGGGGAAAGGAGGAGAGGUGAUCCUCUUGGAAAUUCACAUAAUUGCUUUUAUUUGAUUUUUAUUAAAAUGCAUUCAGGAAUAA